AAACCCCUACUGUGCCCGUGUUUAAGUGGUUAUGUUUUGAGCCAACACAUAUAGAAAGGGAAUCCGGACUCUAUAUGCGGCAUAUAUGCCUUGGCAACAAGGAAAUAUAAAGCAUGUAGGAGGAUACCCACCUGCCGAGAGCAGGUUCAAAACAACCAUUAAACGACAUAGUGGGGGGAAA
rnacentral:other from 1 species